rnacentral:rRNA from 1 species
AACGAACGCUGGCGGCGUGCUUAACACAUGCAAGUCGAACGAGAAAGUUUCCUUCGGGAAACGAGUAGAGUGGCGCACGGGUGAGUAACGCGUAGGUAAUCUACCCUUAUAUUUGGGAUAACAUCGGGAAACUGGUGCUAAUACCGGAUACACUUCUUUACUGCCGGGUAAAGGAGGAAAGGUGGCCUCUUCAUGAAAGCUACCGUAUAGGGAUGAGCCUGCGUACCAUUAGCUUGUAGGUGGGGUAACGGCCCACCUAGGCUACGAUGGUUAGCGGGUCUGAGAGGAUGAUCCGCCACACUGGAACUGGAACACGGACCAGACUCCUACGGGAGGCAGCAGUGAGGAAUAUUGCGCAAUGGGGGAAACCCUGACGCAGCGACGCCGCGUGAGUGAGGAAGGUCUUCGGAUCGUAAAGCUCUGUCAGAAGGGAAGAAAUGUCAUAUGGUUAAUACCCAUAUGGCUUGACGGUACCUUCAGAGGAAGCACCGGCUAACUCCGUG